GACGAACGCUGGCGGCGUGCUUAACACAUGCAAGUCGAACGGAAAGGCCCUGCUUUUGUGGGGUGCUCGAGUGGCGAACGGGUGAGUAACACGUGAGUAACCUGCCCUUGACUUUGGGAUAACUUCAGGAAACUGGGGCUAAUACCGGAUAGGAGCUCCUGCUGCAUGGUGGGGGUUGGAAAGUUUCGGCGGUUGGGGAUGGACUCGCGGCUUAUCAGCUUGUUGGUGGGGUAGUGGCUUACCAAGGCUUUGACGGGUAGCCGGCCUGAGAGGGUGACCGGCCACAUUAGGACUGAGAUAGGGCCCAGACUGCUACGGGAGGCAGCAGUGGGGAAUAUUGCACAAUGGGCGGAAGCCUGAUGCAGCAACGCCGCGUGCGGGAUGACGGCCUUCGGGUUGUAAACCGCUUUCGCCUGUGACGAAGCGUGAGUGACGGUAAUGGGUAAAGAAGCACCGGCUAACUACGUG
rnacentral:rRNA from 1 species